rnacentral:lncRNA from 1 species
CAUGUUCUAAUGAAAAUAAAACAAAAAACCGAAAAAGAAAAUUGUUCUAAAAAAUACAAAAAUUGAUUUCCAUCAAGUUCAACUCUUUUUCUUCACGUUGGGAUCUUCAUCGUCCCACNGGCUCACUUUUCUUCGGUCCACCUUCUUGAUCACUGUUGAAUAUGGUCUUUGAAUUUCCACCACUCCUUUUUCCUUCAGCUCCUUAAUUAUCCAUUCCUUUUUCUUAAAUCUCACUUUGCUCCCGGUAGGAAUGGAUCUUCUUUUGGUUUUGGGUGAAUGGUUCUUCUCCCUUUAUCCUCAGGCACCUACAAAACACAACAAUUGUCAUAAUAAUCAUUACCUGCUAUGCUCUCUUCUUAUUCUUCAUUCAUCUCUAGCUUCUCGAAUGUUUUUCUUUUUACUGUUUUGAUCUCAUCCCCUUCACG